CCCCACGAAUUACCAUCACCAUCUCCUUCUAAUCGCCAUAUUUUUAACAAAUUAAGUCAUUCAUCAUACUGACAACCAAAAAGUGACUUCCCACGUCGCCAACCAUCAAGCUAUCGAUACCACCACUGUCGACCGGCAAAUUGAGCUUUGAAAUGGUGCCAUUCUCGACAUUAAAAGUCCCAAAGCCUUAGAGCGUUAAAGAUUUACCUCUCCAAAGGACAGUAUUUCCCAUAACCCUUCCGAACGGAUGGAGUACCAUGAACUUAAAAGCAGACACACACGAAAUGCUCAAGAAGGAACACCUGAAAAGUUAGGAUCUUUGAAAUCGGAGGUAUCAGUUUCAGAAGGGGCUACUAUGACAAUCUGAAACCGACAGGGACUGAGGUUCAAAAAUAAAUUCUACGCGCUUAGGAGGGUUGGGUAACACUCUUGCCCCUAUUCCUGCUUGCAGAGAAGAUUUUUUGAGGAUGAAGUUGACAUCCUUUGAUAAAUUGAUUGAAAGGACAUGUAGUUCAAAUAAAGGAUGUUAGACUUUGUAGUGAACCAGAUCAAAGACCAGGCGGUGGUACUGCAAAUUCUAGUGUGGCGCCUGAUGCAGCUGAAAUACAGUUGAAAAGCCCACGUGUAAAGUCUAACAACGACACUUGUCCAAAAUUGAAGUAUAGUUUGAGCUCUUGGCAAGGAAAUUUGAAGUUGAAGCUCGGCAGUUGUGAUUAGUGACUCGUAGCAGAGUUUAUUUUUUUUCCUCCGACGAUUGCAAAUUUUUCAAAGAGCAAUUAGAUAAUCCAUGAUCUUUUUUUACUAUAUACUUACCAUACUAAUAUUGUUCCUUUCACCGUGUAAUUUGAUCCUUUGUCUAUUUUUUAAGUCUGUCCUAAAAUAAUAUAU